GUGGGGAAUCUUCCGCAAUGGACGAAAGUCUGACGGAGCAACGCCGCGUGAGUGAAGAAGGUUUUCGGAUCGUAAAGCUCUUUCGUUAGGGACGAACGUGCUCUUUGUGAAUAAUGAGGAGUAAUGACGGUACCUAAAUAAGAAGCCCCGGCUAACUCCGUGCCAGCAGCCGCGGUAAUACGGAGGGGGCUAGCGUUGUUCGGAAUUACUGGGCGUAAAGCGAGCGCAGGCGGGAUAUCAAGUCUGUCUUAAAAGUGCGAGGCUCAACCUCGUGAGGGGACAGAAACUGGUAUUCUUGAGUGUCGGAGAGGAAAGUGGAAUUCCAAGUGUAGCGGUGAAAUGCGUAGAGAUUUGGAAGAACACCAGUGGCGAAGGCGACUUUCUGGACGAUGUCUGACGCUGAGGCGCGAAAGCUAGGGGAGCGAACGGGAUUAGAAACCCUGGUAGUCC
rnacentral:rRNA from 1 species